GGGAGCGUGGCGGAAUUGGCAUACGCAGGGGACUUAAAAUCCUCCGUCUUUGACUUGUGGGUUCGAGUCCCACCGCUCCUA
rnacentral:tRNA from 1 species